UACGUAGGGUGCGAGCGUUGUCCGGAAUUACUGGGCGUAAAGAGCUCGUAGGUGGUUUGUCGCGUCGUCUGUGAAAUUCCGGGGCUUAACUUCGGGCGUGCAGGCUAUACGGGCAAUACUUGAGUGCUGUAGGGGAGACUGGAAUUCCUGGUGUAGCGGUGGAAUGCGCAGAUAUCAGGAGGAACGCCGAUGGCGAAGGCAGGUCUCUGGGCAGUAACUGACGCUGAGGAGCGAAAGCAUGGGUAGCGAACAGGAUUAGA
rnacentral:rRNA from 1 species